GCCGGACGGCGACAGGGGCGCGGGUCUUCAGCCAGCAGCAGUUCCCGGGAGAUCAACAUACAAAGAGCAAAACGACCGGCAAAUAACGUGAUUUGGAAGUUCCAGUAGUUAAUUCCCUGUAGGUUUGGGGUUGUUUGGUUUGUUUGUCUGUCUGUCUGUCUGUCUUGCAAGCGAGUUCAGCCUAAAGUCCCAACAGAACGCAAAGCCACAGAAAGGAGCGCCUGCCAUUCAAGACGCCUCUUUUCACAUUAAAAAACAAAGCAAAACGCAACGACCACCGUCUUCCAUCCUCCAAAACAAGAACCGCGGUUUCCAGAGGCUGUGCUAAGAAUGCAUGUGCCCGCAUACAUAUAAAUAUAUACAUAUGCUCUGCUUCAUAAAAUAUUUACAAUACAAUCUGUAGAGAGUUUAAACACAACAGAAAUCCAUUACUGUUCGUAGCACAAUGGUUUUUUUUUCUUUCCUUUUCCCUCCCCCUUAAGUAGCCUUGAAAAUCAGCUUCAGUAGUUGGAAGAGAGCUGGCUUAGAAUUUCUUGUCAUGUUCUCUCAAUAAAUUCUGGCCAAAAAAUAAAAAUAAAAAUAAAGAUCAGUGCAGAAACUUAAGAUCUCUAGCUAGUCUUAAAAAUAAUAAUAAAGUCCAAGUCGAUGGUAUUCAGGGUGCAGUCUCCCCAUCUGAGCGCCGGGGCUGGGGGGGGGGGGGGGGAACGUUGGGUGAGUUGUGG